UCCGCCCACCUCCCCUCCGGCUCCCUCUCCCGACUUCUAGCUCUAAGUUCCCGCCUCGGGUAGCCCCUGGGCGGGGCCACAAGCGGGAACGAGCUUCCUUUCCCCACCGCCUGCCCUCGCUGGGCCCCAGGCCACCUCUGGGCGGGGCACUGCCAGCUGUGCGGCGGGGUAAACAAAGAGAGGGGUGCGACGGGGCUAGGGCGGCGGCUCCGCAUUCCGGACCCUUGGGGAGCCCCGCGCCCGCUGAGCCAAAGAAGGCUGGACGUAUCCUGAGAGGGCACUAACCUCCUCUUCUCCCUCGGGGCUGCCGAGAACAGCUGGAGACAGCUGUGCUGUGGGGAAGAAGGGGCAGGCGGCCGGGGCCGUCCAGGAAGGCGUGUGUGGGAUUCUGGGACACACACUGAGGAGAGGAAAGCACAGACGGAGCCCCUUCAGUUUGGAAGGGCCCUCCCCUGCCCUCCUGCCCUUAGCUCCCUGAGGGCUCCCAUACAAGGUGUGGGCCACUAGAUGGGCAAGGACAACUCCAUGCCCCACACCCCUGGAGGAAAGACAAGCUGAGGACAUCGGAGUCCUGCCAAGGCCCAGUGAUUCAGGGUUCCAGGCUCAACAAGCAAAGUCUUCUUGCUCAGAAGCCUGCAGCCUCUGCCUCUCCGAAGACCAGGCUCCCCCUGAGCCGAACCCGCAGACUCUGCUCCCAGAGGCCUCCCCUUUGCUCAUCUCCUUCACACCUGCCCACCGGCCGCGCCUAAAGAAUACUGGACUCCCUUCCCUGCCUGAAUUAAAGGCUUCCAAGAGCACCCUCCCACUGCCAGAAUUGCAGGCUCUCUCCUUAGAGAAUUCCAGUCCCGUCCUUUUCUAGUGGAGAGUGUGCAGGACCGACGGGAACCCCUUCACCCUCCCCGUUGCAGUGAGACACACCAACUGACUCACACAGCCACACGCACACCGUUACUGCCACCUACAGAAAUCCACGCCUCCGUCCAACGCUAACACCCAGAAAUCAGGGCCCACCCACUGUCCAGGGACACACAGCCUCUUGGAACAGUAACGACGACACUCAGGCCUCACUCACGAGCAUUCGUGGGCUGUCUCAGCGCAGUGAUGUAGUGCCCGGCUCUGCCCCAUUAAUGUGCUGUUUUGUGUAGCCCCCGCCGUCUCUGUUAACAUGGCCCUUCAGGACAGCGUACUCGUGCCCCCAUGGCCCCCCCUCCCCAUUACUCUCCCUCCUACCCUGUAGCUGGAGCAUUUGCUGGGGGCGCUGCCGAAAUUUCUCCCUUCUGUCUGGGAUCCAGGGCAUCUUUAAUGCUCGUUGCUAGGCAACAGCCUCUGGCUCACCACGGCAACUUCCGGGGAUGGCGUCGGCUUCCCCUCCUCCCAGAAUUUGGAGUCCCCAGCUCCCAAUCCCUCCCUAGCAGUGCCAUUAUCUCCAAGAGUCGUUUCUAUGGCACUCCUUGGAUCCUGAUCUGAUCUCAACCGUACAGAAUCCCUCAGAGUGCUAGAGCCAUGGCAUUCCAGAAGCUUUCUCCCAUUGUGUGCUCUUAAGCUGUUUUAUCAUCUCUGUGGUGUAAAUAAAGAAACAAAUCUC